CUCAAGAUUAAGCCAUGCAUGUGUAAGUAUAAACACGAUUUAGAACAGUGAAACUGCGAAAGGCUCAUUUAAACAGUUAUAAUUUGCUCGGUGAAAAAGUUUUCCUAUCGUUUUCGGACGAGAGAAAAUAUUACAUGGAUAACCGUGGAAAAUCUAGAGCUAAUACAUGCGUAAAGCUGAGGGGCCCUGGCGCCCUCUCAGUGCGUAUAUUAGAUACCGAAACCCGAUUUCUACUUGGCAACAAGUAAAUAAAAAGCGAGGUGAAUCAUAAUAUUCAUAGCGGAUCGUAUCGCAGCAAUGCGGACGACAAGCCGAAAAAAUUUCUGACCUAUCAAUUGAGGAAGGUAGCAUAGAGGGCUACCUUGAUGUUAACGGGAAACGGAGAAUUAGGGUUUGAUUCCGGAGAGGCAGCCUGAGAAACGGCUACCACUUCCAAGGAAGGCAGCAGGCGCGAAACUUAUCCAAUGGCAAUACGCCGAGAUAGUGAAAAUAUAUAUGGAUAGGCAAUUUUUAAAAUUGCUUUUAAUCCAAAUGAGAACAAUUUAAAUCCCUUAUCGAGAAUCCAUUCGUGGGCAAGUCUGGUGCCAGCAGCCGCGGUAACUCCAGCACGAAAAGUGUAUACGAAUUCUGUUGCAGUUAAAAAGCUCGUAGUUGAAUUUUUUUUUUUUUUUUUUAAAAAUUAAAAUAAAUUUUUAUUUUAUUUGAAAGAAAAAAAAAUAUUUAAUUUUUUAUUUUUAAUAAAAAAUUUAGAUUACUUUGAAUAAAUUAGAGUGUUUAAAGCAAACCAAAAUCAAUUGAGAUUUUAAAACAGUUUGAAUAUAUUAGCAUGGGAUAAUGAAAAAGGACAUAUGCACUAUAUGUUAGAAAAUUGGAAAUUGGGUUUAAUAGGUAUAUGUAAUGAUGGAAAGGAACGGUUGGGGGUAUUUGUAUCAAAGCCGAAACGGUGAAAUGUAUGGAUUGCUUUGGGACAAACAACAGCAAAAGCAUUUACCAAGGACGUGUCCAUUAAUCAAGAACGAAAGUUAGGGGAUCGAAGAUGAUCAGAGACCGUUUUAGUCUUAACCAUAAACGAUGCCGACCAAGGAUAGUGGGUCGUCUAUUUAAUAAAAUGAAUGUUGACUCUCACUGAACUAGAAACGUAAAGGGAAACCGUGAGUUUUUGGGUUCUGGGGGAAGUACGAUCGCAAGGUUGAAACUUAAAGGAAUUGACGGAAGGACACCACCAGGUGUGGAACCUGCGGCUUAAUUCGACUCAACACGGGACAACUUACCAGGUCCAGAUACAGGAAGGAUUGACAGAUUGAUAGCUCUUUCUUGAUUCUGUAGAUGGUGGUGCAUGGCCGUUCUUAGUUGGUGGAGUGAUCUGUCUGGUUAAUUCCGAUAACGAACGAGACCUCAGUUUAUUAAUUAGUUUUAAUUAAAUUAAUUUUUUAAUUUAAUUUAAAUUUUUUGUAUAUCAAAAAUGAAAAAUAUUUCGAUAUUUUUUUACUUCUUAGAAAGACUUUUCAUAUCCAGUGAAAGGAAGUUUGAGGCAAUAACAGGUCUGUGAUGCCCUUUAGAUGUUCUGGGCUGCACGCGCGUUACAAUGAAGAUAUCAACGGGUUUUAAAUUUUCAAAUCAAUGAUUUGUAGAUUUGUUCCUUUUUCGAAUGAAAUGGGUAAACCUUGGCAACCAUCUUCGUGCUGGGGAUUGAUGAUUGUAAUUUUUCAUCAUGAACGAGGAAUACCUAGUAGGCACAAUUCAACAAAUUGUACCGACUCUGUCUCUGUCCUUUGUACACACCGCCCGUCGCUUCUACCGAUGAAUGAUCCGGUGAAAAUUUGGGAUUUAAUUUUUCUUUUUUUAAAGAAGAGUUGAAAAACUUAUUUGAAUCUUGUCAUUUAGAGGAAGGAGAAGUCGUAACAAGGUAUCCGUAGGUGAACCUGCAGAAGGAUCA
rnacentral:rRNA from 1 species